rnacentral:misc_RNA from 1 species
GUGAAUCAUCGAAUUUUUGAACGCAAAUUGCGCCUUUUUCGGAAGGCAUGUCUGUUUGAGGGCACCAUUUAACAAAUAAUGUGCACCGUUUUGUGUGUGCACACGUUGAUGAGCUUUCCAGGAAAAAUUUUUUUUUUUUUUUUGGUGGCGCAUAAUGAACAGCGCGAAAGCUUUUUUUUUAGUUCGGGUGUAGUAAAAUCUUUUCUUGGGUUUUUAAAAAACAUUAUCGCGCAAUGGGUGGGGCAAUUUUUUUUUUUCCCUGCCCCAAUGCCCCCCUUUCCCACGA